rnacentral:rRNA from 1 species
CCUACGGGUGGCUGCAGUGGGGAAUAUUGGACAAUGGGCGCAAGCCUGAUCCAGCCAUGCCGCGUGAGUGAUGAAGGCCUUAGGGUUGUAAAGCUCUUUUGUCCGGGACGCGGUACCGGAAGAAUAUGCCCCGGCUAACUUCGUGCCAGCAGCCGCGGUAAUACGAAGGGGGCUAGCGUUGCUCGGAAUCACUGGGCGUAAAGGGCGCGUAGGCGGCCUGAUCAGUCGGGGGUGAAAGCCUGUGGCUCAACCACAGAAUGGCCUUCGAUACUGUCAGGCUUGAGACCGGAAGAGGUAAGUGGAACUGCGAGUGUAGAGGUGAAAUUCGUAGAUAUUCGCAAGAACACCAGUGGCGAAGGCGGCUUACUGGUCCGGUCUGACGCUGAGGCGCGAAAGCGUGGGGAGCAAACAGGAUUAGAUACCCUUGUAGUC